CUGGGCCAGAACAACGGAUGCCCCACAACUGAGUUUAGUGCCUCCAAGAACCACAGCUUUUUUUUGCAGCAGUAAGAGCAUACCUCUGAGGCACUGUGAAGAAUCUGAUAGUCGAACUGAAUGAAGCCAAGUCCAGUCUUUACGGAAAAAUUUACACAACACUUCCAGCCGGAGCAGAUGUGUAUUAACCCAAUUGGACAUCCGUGAAGACACCAAGGCCCAG
rnacentral:lncRNA from 1 species